rnacentral:lncRNA from 1 species
UUAGGAUAGGAUUGAAAUUCGGUUAACACUUCCUUAAAACCAGUCAUGUGAUCCGAACAUCCUGAAUCUAUUAUCCAUGUUUCACAAGGUUUAGACUGAAUAGAGUAGGCAUGAGAGGAUUUACCUUGAUUAGCAAAGUGACUGGAGAAGUUUUCUGGCUGAUUUUGGGAAGAUGGUUGAUUCUGAACCAUGAGGUUGAAGAACUUCUCCAUUGCAGCGGCCUG